rnacentral:lncRNA from 1 species
CAGAAAACCAAUUUUCAGAAAUUGAGAUUACCAAUUCUGGUCCUAUUUAAGACUGGGGAGAAAAUGAAAAAUUCUGAAAUGUCUGCAAGGCUGGAGAGCAGUUUUCCACUGCGCUCUCCUCAGAUGAGAUUGCAGAAAUUCUUCUGUUUUCUUCUUCCUCCCUGGCUCUGCCACCAGGCAAUUCUGUUCACACUGCUCUCCAAGACAAAAUCUGAGCCAGGCUGAGAUUUGUGCUGAUGGAUGCUCCUCCAUGCAUUUCACUGGCUGAAGUUCCUCUUCCUUGGCACAGCAGCAGCGGAAUGCAGGUGGCAGUGAGGGGCUCCAGGUGCUGGUGUUCUCCUUCUGCAGGAGGACACCCCACUCCUACAUCCCUGUGCUCCAGCCUCCUUCAUGCCAUGUGUCCCACCAAGGGAGACAAACAGCAAUUGUGACAGCUGACAGCAGUGUUUCCUGUGGAGCUUCCACAGAAACAGCCCCACAUUCCCAGGCUAACAACUGGGUACCUGUCUGAAAAUGGAGGACAAGGAAUUUACUGUAAAGAAAAAAAUCAGUGGCAGCCCUGCUGUAUUUA